rnacentral:lncRNA from 1 species
AGGAGUCUUAUUAUGUUGCCCAGGCUGGUCUUGAACUCCUGGGCUCAAGUGAUCCACUUGCCUUAGCCCCACAAAGUGCUGGGAUUACAGGCAUGCGGCACCACGCCUGGUCUAAAUAUAUAUUUUUUAUCCCCAUUUUAAAGAUGAGAAAAUGGAGGCAUAGAGAGAUUAAGUAACCUGGCAAGGGCGACACAGGUAAUAAGGGCAAAGUUAGGAUUCAAAUCCAGAUUGUUGGCUGGGCAUGGUAGCUCUUGCCUGUAAUCCCGGCACUUUGGGAGGCUGAGGCAGGAGGACUGCUUGAGCCCAAUAGUUUAGGACCAGCUCUGGCAACAAAGUGAGACCCCCGCCCCAUCUUUAUUUAACGAAAAAUCAAAUCAGCAGGGCACAGUGGCUGUAAUACAGGCUGGGAUCAUACCUGUAAUCUCAGCACUUUGGGAGGCCGGGGUGGGCAGAUCACGAGGUCAAGAGUUUGAGACCAGCCUGGCCAACAUGGUGAAACCCCAUCUCUACUAAGAAUACAAAAAUUGACUGGGUGUGGUGGCACUUGCCUGUAAUCCCAGUUACUCGGGAGGCUGAGGCAAGAGAAUCACUUGAACCUGGGAAGCAGAGGUUGCAGCAAGCCAAGAUCGCACCAUUGCACUGCAGCCUGGGCGACAGAGCACGACUCCAUCUUGGUGGGGAGGGAAAAAAUAAUCAUAUCUAGAUAGUCAGAUGUCAUAGCGCUUAUGCCAAAAAUGAGCUUCACCAUUAGGCUCUAGUAUCUGUAGUCAUUUUAUCUCUGUAAACCUCAGUCUUCUUGCUGUGAAAAGUGAAUGACUGCCUCACAGCAUUGUUGUAAGGAUUGGAUGAGAGCACAUAAUAGGCUGUUAAUAUGUGGGGACAGUCCCCCUUUCAUGGUCAAAUGUUAAGGUUCGGCUGCUUAGCCUUGGAGUCUGGGGGUCAGAGAGUUAGCUCUCUGGCUUGGGCCCACCUGGGCUAGGGAAACCAGCCUAGGGGCAAGCUGCCCACAGGGAAGCUGUGUCUCCCCGUCUCAAUUUCCACUCCCCAGUGGGCUCACAUUUCCCUGCUCACUCUAUUUUCGCUGGCCCAGGAGGAUGUGCCCCAGGAAAGUCCUGGGAUCAGCCACAUGGACUCCCUGUUCCUGUUCCCUAUCUAUGCGCCCCACCCCCGCCUUGGGAAACAGGUGUGUCUGAACUGGAGCUGGAAGCAGAGCCCGGGAGCUGGACAACUGGCCUUGGAUGAUUCAUCCGUUCAACUGUGAGCUCUUGACAGCAAUGUGAAGCAAGAAGUGCAUGUUAUUAUUAUCCUCAUUUUAUAGUUGAGAAAAAUGAUGCUCAUUAAAGUCAAGAAACCAGCCCAAAGUCACACAGCCUGUAAGUGAGUGGCAGAGCCAGGUAUGGUUUUAAGGUCUCUUGUCUCUCCAUAGAAUGUUCUUUUCUGUACACUGUUGUAGAGGAGCAAAAAAUGGGUGGGUCAGAUGAGCCAAGUUUAUAUAGUGUUUUGAGUUACAAAAAAGAAUAGUGGCAUGGGGCUUCUGCGGGCUGGUGGCAACACAAAUUAUGGGGAGGCGAGGGGAAGAAAUGUCCUAUUAUGGAGAUAAAAUCUCUCAGGAAGUAACAGUUGUCAGCUCUCUUCUUGACACAGAUACCUCACUAAAAAUGUAGAUUUCCGUUGUA